rnacentral:rRNA from 1 species
GACGAACGCUGGCGGCGUGCUUAACACAUGCAAGUCGAACGGAAAGGCCCUGCUUUUGUGGGGUGCUCGAGUGGCGAACGGGUGAGUAACACGUGAGUAACCUGCCCUUGACUUUGUGAUAACUUCAGGAAACUGGGGCUAAUACCGGAUAGGAGCUCCUGCUGCAUGGUGGGGGUUGGAAAGUUUCGGCGGUUGUGGAUGGACUCGCGGCUUAUCAGCUUGUUGGUGUGGUAGUGGCUUACCAAGGCUUUGACGGGUAGCCGGCCUGAGAGGGUGACCGGCCACAUUGGGACUGAGAUACGGCCCAGACUCCUACGGGAGGCAGCAGUGGGGAAUAUUGCACAAUGGGCGGAAGCCUGAUGCAGCAACGCCGCGUGCGGGAUGACGGCCUUCGGGUUGUAAACCGCUUUCGCCUGUGACGAAGCGUGAGUGGCGGUAAUGGGUAAAGAAGCACCGGCUAACUACGUG